rnacentral:lncRNA from 1 species
AUGAUUAAAAAUUUACUUUUGGCACCAUGUCGACAGGACUCAACAAAUGCCCAAAUGAUAAAGUACAGUGGUAAACACACCGCAUGCACGACGGAUCCUCUUAUUUUAUUUAGAUACAAACAUAAGCACAAAUCAAAUCAAACCAAACCAAACCAUACGUCUGAUACAUAGUCUUCUCCUCACUUGAGAGUCACACACCGAAAUAAACAAGCAGGUGCACACACGCAUCAUCAAGCACCAGUUUAUUCUUUGGGAAAUUAUAUAAACACACCGUCGUUUAGGGCCGUAUGCAUCGUGCUGAUGCAGAGGCCGGGGUUUCUCCCCCUUUUCGAGAAAAAAAAAUAAACACACCGUCAACUGGGCAAGCCCAACACCUGAUUCAACCGUUCCAGCAGCAGAAAAUCAUCCCAUCACCACAUCUGCGAAUGUGAUGAUAAAACUAGUUAACGUGAGACGAAAAGAAAAGAAAGAUUCGGUAGCACAUAGGGGUGAUUGGAUCCUUGCUAUAUGUAUCAUUUUGCGAUUCAGAUAUAUGGCACAUGCAUAGUAAGUGCCGCAGAUACAUACACAUGAUUUAUACAAGGAUGACAUGGCAUAUGAUACAGUAAGGUAAACAAUAAAAAGGCGAGGGCAUGUGUAUGCAUACCUGAACGGUCAUGACAAUUCAACGGAGGACCGAGACUCUGGGUAGGGCUUUCUUGUAAUACAGCGAGUGAUGAUGUGUCUCAAAGAGUGACGGGUGGUGCCCGGCCUCCAGACCGUCCCACUCUAGCAUGUCCCACAAGUCCUUCUCACAGUCCACAACAGGAAGGCCGGCUCCAUGGCGAAGGCCGACAGCUGGGAGGCGCCUAAGGCCCCAAGAACCCCUUAUCCUGAUCGUCUCAAGCCUGGGAGCAAACAUCUUGGCCUCGCAUAUUUGCUCCAGGCAGUCGAGUUGGUGCAGGUGUAUGUGCUUUAGCUUUGGAAAAUUCUUCACAGUGUCUUCUUUUCCAGCUUCAUAAUUCACAUCCCAUGGGAAGAUCUGCCUGAGAUUACCGCAGUGGACUAUUUGGAUGGUCUCUAGGCUGGGUAAGAUGAAUGACGAGAUUGGGAGGACAAACUUGAGCCUUGGGCAGUUGUGCAAGUGUAUGCUCCGUAGUUCUCCAAAGACAGAUUCUUCCUCAAAUGCCCGAGUCAUUCCUUUGCUCCAAAUGCAGCCAGCUGCUCUGAGAUCGGUCACCCAAAUGGUCUCCAUAUCAGCAAAGGAACAACACCACUGGUUUGUGUAAGGGGUGAAAACUUCCUGUAACUUAGGACACCUCUCAACAUGGCACCACCUCAAAUAAAACAUAAGUUUUCUACAUGGAAGGACCGAAUCUUGCUUGGGGGUAACACCAAGGAUGGAUGAAUUGUCAUGGACACGCAAGGAAUGAGCCCACCAUAUCAAUUGACGAAUAGCUAAGAGUCCCCAAACGGACUCCGCAUCAGUGAGAUUAAUUCCAUCACCAAUCUCAACGUGGCGGUGUAGGGGUAGAAGCCAUGGGACCUCGUAAGCAUUAGCUACUCUCUCGAGUACGAUGUCAUGGUAGCAGCAUCUGAAGGGGCUUCGGACUGGCGAAACUACCUGGACAUUGCAGGUCUCAAUCCCCACAGUAUUAACGCUUCUCCCUUCAACAUUGAUCUCGAAAGACUUACCUAGAUUCAAGUAUAGGCUAUCCGUAAUCAAAAUCCUAGAACUGACUUCCCACGAACCGAGCACCAAGGAUGGAAUGAGCCUUGCAUCUCUGAGAUAAACUUCACCAUCAUAUUUCCUGUUUACAGAACGGAUGAAUGAAGAAUCAUGUGGCCUUAUAGCGUCCUUUCGUUGACUGCUGACGUGUAGUAUUUUCAAGCUUCUAUUGACACCCUUCCAUAGUAUUGCAUGGAGGUUCUCACAGCCUAUUAGAAAGAGUUGCUCUAGUUUUGGCACCUGCUGUUGGAGAACGUAGCAGAAAUUCAAAAUUUUCCUACGUGUCACCAAGAUCUAUCUAUGGAGAAACCAGCAACGAGGGGAAGGAGAGUGCAUCUACAUACCCUUGUAAAUCGCUAAGCGGAAGCAUUCAAGAGAACGGGGUUGAAGGAGUCAUACUCGUCGUGAUCCAAAUCACCGGAGAUCCUAGUGCCGAACGGACGACACCUCCGCGUUCAACACAUGUACAGCCCGGUGACGUCUCCCACGCCUUGAUCCAGCAAGGUGAGAGGGAGAGGUUGAGGAAGACUCCAUCCAGCAGCAGCACAACGGCAUGGUGGUGAUGGAGGAGCGUGGAAAUCCUGCAGGGCUUCACCAAGCACCGCAAGAGACGAGGAGGAAGAGAGGUAGGGCUGCACCAAGAGGGAGAGAAACUCAUGUGUUGGGCAGCCCCUAGACCUCAACUAUAUAUAGGGGAAGGGGAGUGGGAUGCGCCCCCUCUAGGGUUCCCUCCCCAGGGGUGGCGGCAGCCCCCAGAUCCCAUCUGGGUGGCGGCCAGAGGGGGAGAGAGGGGAGGCGCACCUGGGGUGGGCCUUAGGGCCCAUCUGCCCUAGGGUUUGCCCCCUCCCACUCUUCCCUGCGCCUUGGGCCUUGAGGGGGGGCGCACCAGCCCACCUGGAGCUGGUCCCCUCCCACACUUGGCCCAUGCAACCUUCUGGGGCUGGUGGCCCCACCUGGUGGACCCCCAGGACCCUCUCGGUGGUCCCGGUACAUUACCGAUAUCAUCCGAAACUUUUCCGGUGAUCAAAGCAGGACUUCCCAUAUAUAAAUCUUUACCUUCGGACCAUUCCGGAACUCCUCGUGACGUCCGGGAUCUCAUCCGGGACUCCAAACAACAUUCGGUAACCACAUAGAAACUUCCUUUAUAACCCUAGCGCCAUCGAACCUUAAGUGUGUAGACCCUACGGGUUCGGGAACCAUGCAGACAUGACCGAGACGCUCUCCGGUCAAUAACCAACAGCGGGAUAUGGAUAUCCAUGUUGGCUCCCACAUGUUCCACGAUGAUCUCAUCGGAUGAACCACGAUGUCAAGGACUCAAUCGAUCCCGUAUAUAAUUCCCUUUGUCUAGCGGUAUUAUACUUGCCCGAGAUUCGAUCGUCGGUAUCCCGAUACCUUGUUCAAUCUCGUUACCGGCAAGUCUCUUUACUCGUUCCGUAACACAUCAUCCCGUGAUCAACCCCUUGGUCACAUUGUGCACAUUAUGAUGAUGUCCUACCGAGUGGGCCCAGAGAUACCUCUCCGUUCACACGGAGUGACAAAUCCCAGUCUCGAUUCGUGCCAACCCAACAGACACUUUCGGACAUACCUGUAGUGCACCUUUAUAGCCACCCAGUUACGUUGUGACGUUUGGUACACCCAAAGCAUUCCUACGGUAUCCGGGAGUUGCACAAUCUCAUGGUCUAAGGAAAUGAUACUUGACAUUAGAAAAGCUUUAGCAUACGAACUACACGAUCUUUGUGCUAGGCUUAGGAUUGGGUCUUGUCCAUCACAUCAUUCUGCUAAUGAUGUGAUCCCGUUAUCAACGACAUCCAAUGUCCAUGGUCAGGAAACCGUAACCAUCUAUUAAUCAACAAGCUAGUCAACUAGAGGCUUACUAGGGACAUGGUGUUGUCUAUGUACCCACACAUGUAUCUGAGUUUCCUAUCAAUACAAUUAUAGCAUGGAUAAUAAACGAUUAUCAUGAACAAGGAAAUAUAAUAAUAACUAAUUUAUUAUUGCCUCUAGGGCAUAUUUCCAACAGUCUCUCACUUGCACUAGAGUCAAUAAUCUAGUUCACAUCGCCAUGUGAUGAACACUCACAGGUCACAUCGCCAUGUGACCAACAUCCAAAGAGUUUACUAGUGUCACUAAACCAGUUCACAUCAUCAUGUGAUUAAGACUCAAUGAGUUCUGGGGUUUGAUCAUGUUUUGCUUGUGAGAGAGGUUUUAGUCAACGGAUCUGUAACAUUCAGAUCCGUAUGUACUUCGCAAAUCUCUAGGUCAUAUUGUAAAUGCUGCUUCCACACUCCACUUGGAGCUAUUCCAAAUGGUUGCUCCACUAUACGUAUCCGGUUUGCUACUCAGAGUCAUUCGGAUAGGUGUUAAAGCUUGCAUCGAUGUAAACCUUUACACCGAACUCUUUAUCACCUCCAUAAUCGAGAAACAUGUCCUUUAUUUACUCCAAGGACAAUUUUGACCGUUGUCCAAUGAUCUAUUCCUAGAAAGCCUGGGGUGUGUGAGCCAAGCCAAAUCAUACCACAGGUGACCAUGUUCUCUUUGACUGUACCUGAUCAAUCUCAGAACAUCCGAUGCUUUGGAAAUUUCUGGUGACGUAUAUACACUUUGCUUGCAUCAGUUUUCCUCAACGCAAGUUGUCGAACUCAUAUGUUUUCUCUAACUCUAUGCAAAGACUAUAGCAACAGCGGUGCCUCACGGCCCGAUAAUACAGUUAUUCUGAAGAACUAUAAUCCCUAGAUUAUAAGGAGCAUGCAUAUGAUCUGAGAGAAGUUAGUGGUGAAUACAUACCUCGGUGAUGGACCAGUCGAUGACCAAGGAGCUCACCAGGAUGUAUGUCCUGGUCUGCAAGGUCAGUAGCUUGUGUGCAGUAGCAAUAAGAACAGAGAGAGACACCGUGGGAAGCACUUGUCACCUCGGGGAAGCUCCAGAGGAUGCCCGAUGAUGAGGCACGGACUACUCUCUAACUACAGAUGCAGCAAACCAGUGAGAUCGCAUCACCAAUAUAUCUCCAUCUAAAAAAACCUCUGUCUUUCAAUCUAUUAAAUAAAUGUACACCUAAAAUGUGUCAUGCGUCAUCCUUUAUUUUGAUGUACCCAAUAGAAACCCUGAACACAAGCGACAUCAAACAAUAUGUGCAUACCAUCAAACUAAGUAAGAGACAUCUACAAAAUUUAAGAGCUAGAAUGGACGGACUUCCCAGAACAUAGUUUAUGUAACUUGAGAAAAAACUGGUGCCAACAGACAAACAAUCACUUCAAUUUGAUUUUAUCAACCCAGGUUCUUUGCAAAAUUGCAAAAAAGGGACAUUAGAUAAAGGAAACUAAUGCACCAGAAACUGGAAAUUUAUGCAAUAAUUCCAAAUCUUUUAAUGUGAUCAAGUAUGACAAGCCUUGGAACAAGGGGGAUAUUCAUAACUCUGACUGCACUAGAGGAUAAUGCAAGACAUAUGUAUUUUUUCAUCAAUUGAAUGGUAAAUUUUAGUAAGCAUAUGGCCAUUUUGUUAUAGAAAUCACUUUUCGGUAAUUGCAGGAACUCAAUGGAAUAUUAAAAACAUGUACCUUUCAUUGAUAAAAGGCAAUGUUUCAUCAGUCAGAAGACCCUUCUUGAAAUUCUUUUCAUAGUUUUGAAGUCCUAAUUGGUUCAACAUAUUAUUUCAGAAUAGUUAAUAUCUUCAUUGUGUGUCUUUGUCUUUGAGAAUUUCUGCCAAC